ensembl:lncRNA
UAACUAUACUUUUUGCUUCAACAAAAGAUUCUUUAUCCAUUGAAGAUUGAUUAGUUACUUGAAAUAUAUGGUUUAUAGCAUUAAUCUCAAACUCAAUUCCUGGAGGGCCACAGCUCUGCACAGUUUAGCUCCAACUCUAAUCAAACACACCUGAUCCAGCUAAUCAAGCUCUUCAGGAUUACUAGAAACUUCCAAGCAGGUGUGAUUUGGAGCUGGUUGGAGCUAAACUCUGCAGAGCUGUGGCCCUCUAGGAAUUGAGUUUGAGACCAUUGGUUUAUAGGCACAUAAGCACUUCUAAUCACAUCCUGCUCCAGUGAGACCAACUGCCAUUGAGAUGAAUGGAGAUGCUAACGGCUAACAGCUUCCUUCAGGUUAUUGUACUGGGACUUUAUUUCCCACGAGUUGCACCUGCUGUCGCCUCUGGAGCUCACUGUGGGUUCAGUGCUGAUGGAACGCAGAGCGGACGCAGCCUGACAUCUGAGAACGCUGAGAGCUCACGUCUAAAAGAACACAAGGAUUACCUUUAUUUUCAUCCACCCAGUGGAUCAUUUCGUAGAGAUGUGCAGAAGUGAUCUGAAAGUUAAACGUACUGUAGCUGUCAUAAACAGUGAUAAGGGGCUGUAAUUCCUGAAGAAAAUCUAAAUCGCCUCACUGGGAGUUAGUCACCUGGAUACUUGGAAGUACGUAGUUUGAAAUCCGUCAUUGUUGUGAUGGACACUCAUCUCUGGACGCUUAGCUCGGGACACACUGUUUUGCUGAGCCCAUCAGCUGACUGUGAAUGUCUUGUGAAACACAAUCAAACCUGAAAAAAAUGGCAUGACACUUUUUUGUGACACAGCUAAUCGAAUUGUACAAUCUAAAUGACGGUUGCAUCCAAAAGUAAUUAAGAAAAAAAAAAAAGUAAAACAUUUUUUUUGUUAAUAAGAUUGUACACUGAGUGUAUUUUCAAACUAAAUUAAAAUAUUUUAUUAUUCAAGUAUUCCUUUUAAUUACUUUUUGGCAGUACAGCACUUUUUACAUUAAACCUAAUUAUUAUUAUUAUUAUUAUUAUUAUUAUUAGUAGUAGUAGUUUUAUUUAAUUCAAUUUAAUAAUAAUAAUAAUAAUAAUAAUAAUAAUAAUAAUAAUAAUAAUUGCAAGGAUAUUAUGACAUGGUAUUCAAACAUUUAUAACUUUUUAG